GCCUGGGUGGCUCAGUCGGUUGAGUGUCUGACUUCGGCUCAGGUCCUGAUCUCACAGUCUGUGAGUUUGAGCCCCACAUCAGGCU
rnacentral:tRNA from 1 species